rnacentral:lncRNA from 10 species
UGGAGUCUCACUCUGUCACCCAGGCUGCAGUGCAGUGGCACGAUCUCAGCUCACUGCAAGCUCCGCCUCCCGGGUUCACGCCAUUCUCCUGCCUCAGCCUCCCGAGUAGCUGGGACUACAGGCACCCACCACCACACCCAGCUAAUUUUUUCUAUUUUUAGUAGAGACGGGGUUUCACCGUGUUAGCCAGGAUGGUCUCAAUCUCCUGACGUCGUGA